CCAGAGUCUCCUCCCUCCAUGGCAGGGAGCUCCAGGGGUCUGGUGUUGUCUAGGGGUGGGUCCUGCAGGCUGCUGGUGGGCAGAGACAUGAGCAGUGGUUCUGAGCGCCCUGCCCUGGUGCGCUGUGGGCUUGGGCUGCACAGGAGGGUCGCUCCUGAGGUCCCACAUUCCGAGGUGCUGGAACUCUGCUGCCACCUCCUCCAUAUGGUGUCCCCAUGGUGAUGGGGACCUGCCGUGUGGAGCAGAAGCUCAGAGCCUGACAUUCACCUCAGGUCACCUCAGGUCUGGCCAUGGCUUGCUGGGUAGAGCCCCAGGAGCCGUUUCUGGGUUGUGCAGUCUGGGUAGCUUCUGAGGACGUGUGUCUCAGAGCCCUGCAAGCCAGCCUUGCUGGGACACUGCUGCUGCCCAGGCCGCAGCCUGCCCACCCUACCUAUUGAGCUGGAUGUCAGCCUGGGGCGGAUCCCCGUCUUUUUCUGCAGCGUCCUGUCCUCUUGUCUUUCACACACAGCCCGUCCUUUCAUCAGAAACCGUGAUGACCAGAGCUGGCCUCCUGCAGCUCUGCAGACCACUGGGUGCCAGUGUCCCCACCACUGUGGCAGGGGCAGUGGCUGUGUGAGUGCCUUGAGGGGCGCUGUUCUCUGAUUGAGCCUUUCCAUGUGGACCUUCAAGGCCACUGCUACUCCCUGGCUGUGCUGGGCUAUACCUCACCCUGGGGGGGCAGCUUCCCUGACUGCCCGGGGGGCACUGGAGUCUGAAGAUCUAGGGGUACAGCGAGCCACCUUCCUGGGGUCCUUAGGCCUCUUUUUCUGUAGUGUAACCUUAUUAAAUUCCCAGGUCUGUUGUGUGGUCUCUCUGUUUACAAGGGACAAGUAGGCAUCAGAGACGCCCUGAGGAUGGCUGGUUCUGUUGGCAGAGCUGGUGGCACCCGUCCUGCAUGGAGCUGCUUCUGACGGGCAGCAAGGAUGCUCACUUGCCCCCCUCUUCAUUCUGUGCGAUCCCGCCUCCCUCUGGUGCUGUCCAAGCCCACGCUGAACGGUUGCUUUGCGAAUCCUCACUCCCGGGGUAUCGGGCAAACCAGGACAGGACUGUAAAGACUGCUCUGUGGUCAGGUGAGCAGGCACCCUCUCCAGGGCCUGCUGGCCUGCUGUGCUUGCCGCCCGCCUACUGCAGGGCUGGGUGGAGCCCUGUGCUCGGGGGCACUGUGCGUACACAGUGUAGGCACACGUAUGAGGUUUCGUGUGUCGUUGGUUUGUGGGGUUUUCUGCGUGACUGUGUCAUACCAUGCAUUGUUCAAACAUUCUGGUUACAACCUCUCCUGCUCCACAGAUUCAGUAAGCUGCGAGCGUUUGGACAGAUGCAGUCUCUGUUCAUUGUUACGGUGAAUUCUUCCUAGACAGCCACAUAGCUUAUGUGUCAUUUGUCAAGAUUAGGAGGAUAAGGUCCUGAAGUCCUCUGUGCAGUGUUCGUUACUUUAAGCACGAAGUGUAGACCAGUGUCAUGCUGCAGCUCUGGGAAGGAUUGGGACCUAACAGUCUUCUCUCAGAAAUUUGCUAUGGAAUUUGACUAUUUCAAUUAAAAUUUCAGGACAAAUAGGUCACAGCCUAAGGUUUCUAUGUCAUUUGUGCUUUAGAAUCUGAGGGUGCUUUGCAGCAGUGGUAGUUGGGGGUUUUCUGGCUGAAGAGUGUCCAGCAUCUGCCAUGCUGGGCGGUGAGGGCACUGUAGUGGUCCUCCUGGUCUGGCUUACCAAAUGGCCUGCCAGUCCACACAGCUGCUCUGGAGGUGGACAGAGGCAGCUCCUUUGCAGGGUGAGGCCCACCUGUGUCAUGUCAGCUUGUGGGUUUUCAAGCAUCCAAGGCAGGACAGCCAAGGCCACUAGAUGGUCAGUGAGAUCUGUGGGGGGAGGCGUUGCCGGCAGCAGUGAACUCUGCCCCUUCUUUUUGAGACAGAGUUGAGCGGUUGAUUAUCCAGUGUCCAGAUGAAGGACUGAGGACCAGGGGCCUGGGGAGCUGCUACCAUCUGUGUGGUUUGGUUUGGUCUGGUUCUCCUGGGAGUUUACUGUGUCCCUGGGUUUUGAAUUCCAGCAGUUCAGACAUUCUGCACCCCACAACCUCUGCCUAUUGCCCUUGGUGCCGUGUUUGGUGAGGCCUGGCCACAUUGUCCUCUCCUGUAACCAGAGCUGUGGCCAGUGUGGGUGUGGCAGGUGGUGGCCCAUGCACCACUCCUUGGGCAUCACAGUCCAGGGAGUGGAGCCAGGGCAAAGACCAGCAGUUACGGCCACCAGGCCAUGGCACGUUGCUACUGCCCUGCUGCGCGGCAGGACAGCCCCAG
rnacentral:lncRNA from 1 species